GUGCCAGCAGCCUCUUUACCCCUUAGGUCCCGAGCGUUGUUCGGAUUCACUGGGUGUAAAGGGCGCGUAGGUGGUUGUCUGUGUCUCAUGUGUAAACUCAGGGCUCAACCCUGAGAUUGCGUGGGAAACUAGGCAGCUAGAGGACGGUAGAGGGGAGUGGAAUUCCCGGUGUAGCGGUAAAAUGCGUAGAUACCGGGAGGAACACCGGUGGCGAAGGCGGCUCUCUGGGCCGAUCCUGACGCUGAGGCGCGAAAGCUAGGGUAGCGAACCGGAUUAGAUACCCGGGUAGUCCUAGCCGUAAACGAUGGGUGCUAGGUGUUGGGGGGUAAAGACCCUUCAGUGCCGAAGCUAACGCGAUAAGCAUCCCACCUGGGGAGUACGGCCGCAAGGUUGAAACUCAAAUAAAUUGACGG
rnacentral:rRNA from 1 species